rnacentral:rRNA from 1 species
GACGAACGCUGGCGGCGUGCUUAACACAUGCCAGUCGAACGGAAAGGCCCUGCUUUUGUGGGGUGCUCGAGUGGCGAACGGGUGAGUAACACGUGAGUAACCUGCCCUUGACUUUGGGAUAACUUCAGGAAACUGGGGCUAAUACCGGAUAGGAGCUCCUGCUGCAUGGUGGGGGUUGGUAAGUUUCGGCGGUUGGGGAUGGACUCGCAGCUUAUCAGCUUGUUGGUGGGGUAGUGGCUUACCAAGGCUUUGACGGGUAGCCGGCCUGGGCGGGUGACCGGCCACAUUGGGACUAAGAGACGGCCCAGACUCCUACGGGAGGCAGCAGUGGGGAAUAUUGCACAAUGGGCGGAAGCCUGAUGCAGCAACGCCGCGUGCGGGAUGACGGCCUACGGGUUGUAAACCGCUUUCGCCUGUGACGAAGCGUGAGUGACGGUAAUGGGUAAAGAAGCACCGGCUAACUACGUG